rnacentral:rRNA from 1 species
AUUGAACGCUGGCGGCAGGCCUAACACAUGCAAGUCGAACGAGUGGCGGACGGGUGAGUAAUGUAUGGGAACAUGACUGGUGGAGGGGGAUAACUACUGGAAACGGUAGCUAAUACCGCAUACCCUCGGAAGUGCCCAGAUGGGAUUAGCUAGUAGGUGGGGUAAAGGGUCACAUAGGCGACGAUCCUUAGCUGGUCUGAGAGGAUGACCAGACAAACUGGAACUGAGAAAUGUUCCAGACUCCUACGGGAGGCAGCAGUGGGGAAUAGUGGACAAUGGGCGCAAGCCUGAUGCAGCCAUCCCGUGUGUAUGAAGAAGGCCUUCGGGUUGUAAAGGACUUUCAGCGGGGAGGCGUUAUCCGCAGAAUAAGCACCGGCUAACUACGUGCCAGCAGCCGCGGUAAUAC